rnacentral:rRNA from 1 species
AUGAACGCUGGCGGCGUGCUUAACACAUGCAAGUCGAACGGUGAAAGAGAGCUUGCUCUCUGGAUCAGUGGCGAACGGGUGAGUAACACGUGAGCAAUCUGCCCCUGACUCUGGGAUAACAGCUGGAAACAGCUGCUAAUACCGGAUACGAGUUGCGAAGGCAUCUUCAGCAGCUGGAAAGAAUUUCGGUCAGGGAUGAGCUCGCGGCCUAUCAGCUUGUUGGUGAGGUAAUGGCUCACCAAGGCGUCGACGGGUAGCCGGCCUGGGAGGGUGACCGGCCACACUGGGACUGAGACACGGCCCAGACUCCUACGGGAGGCAGCAGUGGGGAAUAUUGCACAAUGGGCGAAAGCCUGAUGCAGCAACGCCGCGUGAGGGACGACGGCCUUCGGGUUGUAAACCUCUUUUAGCAAGGAAGAAGCGAAAGUGACGGUACUUGCAGAAAAAGCGCCGGCUAACUACGU